rnacentral:rRNA from 1 species
GAGACCUUAACCUGCUAAAUAGCCAGGCUGGCAUUUGAAAAUCGCCGGCUUCUUCAAGGGAAGGGAAGGGGAGAAAGGAAGGAAGGGGGAGGAAAGAAAAGGGAUGUGAUGACAAAAAAGGUGCUGGGAAAAUCGCGCGCUACACUGACAGAGAAAACGAGUUUAUUUUCCUUGGCCGGAAGGUCUGGGUAAUCUUGUGAAACUCU